rnacentral:rRNA from 1 species
AGCAGCCGCGGUAAUUCCAGCUCCAAUAGCGUAUAUUAAAGUUGUUGCAGUUAAAAAGCUCGUAAUUGAAUUUCGGGAUUGGCGCAUCGGUCGUGCCUCACGGGGUAUGAACUGGUGCAGUCAAUUUCUCACCUUCUGGAGAACCGCGAUGUCCUUAAUUGGAUGCCGCGGGGAACCAGGACCUUUACUUUGAAAAAAUUAGAGUGUUUAAAGCAGGCAUUUUUGCUUGAAUACAUUAGCAUGGAAUAAUAAAAUAGGACGGCAUGGUUCUAUUUUGUUGGUUUCUAGGACCACCGUAAUGAUUAAUAGGGAUAGUUGGGGGCAUUAGUAUUCAAUUGUCAGAGGUGAAAUUCUUGGAUUUAUUGAAGACUAACUACUGCGAAAGCAUUUGCCAAGGAUGUUUUCAUUAAUCAAGAACGAAAGUUAGGGGAUCGAAGACGAUCAGAUACCGUCGUAGUCUUAACCAUAAACUAUGCCGACUAGGAAUCAGACGAUGUUAAUUUUUUAAUGACUCG